rnacentral:rRNA from 1 species
GACGAACGCUGGCGGCGGGCCUAACACAUGCAAGUCGAGCGGAGCGGCGGACGGGGAAGUAAUGCCUAGGAAUCUGCCUGGGAGUGGGGGAUACCGUCCGGAACCGGGCGCUAUUAUCGCAUACUACCAGCUGAGAAUAGGUCGGAUUAGCUAGUUGGUGGGGUAAGGGCUUACCAAGGCGACGAUCCGUAACCGGUCUGAGAGGAUGAUCAGUCACACUGGAACUGAGACACGGUCCAGACUCCUACGGGAGGCAGCAGUGGGGAAUAUUGGACAAUGGGCGAAAGCCUGAGCCAGCCAUGCCGCGUGUGUGAAGAAGGUCUUCGGAUUGUAAAGCACUUUAAGUUGGGAGGCGUUACCAACAGAAUAAGCACCGGCUAACUUCGUGCCAGCAGCCGCGGUAAUUC